rnacentral:rRNA from 1 species
AUUGAACGCUGGCGGCAGGCUUAACACAUGCAAGUCGAGCGGGGGAAGGUAGCUUGCUACCGGACCUAGCGGCGGACGGGUGAGUAAUGCUUAGGAAUCUGCCUAUUAGUGGGGGACAACGUUUCGAAAGGAACGCUAAUACCGCAUACGUCCUACGGGAGAAAGCAGGGGACCUUCGGGCCUUGCGCUAUCAGAUGAGCCUAGGUCGGAUUAGCUUGUUGGUGAGGUAAUGGCCCACCAAGGCGACGAUCCGUAACUGGUCUGAGAGGAUGAUCAGUCACACUGGAACGGAGACACGGUCCAGACUCCUACGGGAGGCAGCAGUGGGGAAUAUUGGACAAUGGGCGAAAGCCUGAUCCAGCCAUGCCGCGUGUGUGAAGAAGGUCUUCGGAUUGUAAAGCACUUUAAGUUGGGAGGAAGGGUUGUAGAUUAAUACUCUGCAAUUUUGACGUUACCGACAGAAUAAGCACCGGCUAACUCUGUGCCAGCCGCCGCCGUAA